CCUGGCGGCCGUAGCGCGGUGGUCCCACCUGACCCCAUGCCGAACUCAGAAGUGAAACGCCGUAGCGCCGAUGGUAGUGUGGGGUCUCCCCAUCCGAGAGUAGGGAACUGCCAGGC
rnacentral:rRNA from 1 species